UCCUGGUUAACCCAGGCAGUCUCGUUAGAGUUCCCAUCUUUAAAUGCUGGCAACUAACGAUAAGGGUUGCGCUCGUUGCGGGACUUAACCCAACACCUCACGGCACGAGCUGACGACAGCCAUGCAGCACCUGUGCAGAAGUCCCGAAGGAACAUAUUAUCUCUAAUAUUGUCUUCUGCAUGUCAAGCCUGGGUAAGGUUCUUCGCGUUGCAUCGAAUUAAACCACAUGCUCCACUGCUUGUGCGGGUCCCCGUCAAUUCUUUUGAGUUUCACCCUUGCGGGCGUACUUCCCAGGCGGCAUACUUAUCGCGUUUGCUUCGGCACAACCGGGGUUGAGUCCGGUUACACCAAGUAUGCAUCGUUUACGGCUAGGACUAC
rnacentral:misc_RNA from 1 species